rnacentral:rRNA from 1 species
UACGGAGGGUGCAAGCGUUGUUCGGAAUUACUGGGCGUAAAGGGCGCGCAGGCGGUUGUGCAAGUCAGUUGUGAAAUCCCCCGGCUUAACCGGGGAACUGCAUCUGAAACUGCAUGACUCGAGUACAGAAGAGGGAAACGGAAUUCCCGGUGUAGAGGUGAAAUUCGUAGAUAUCGGGAGGAACACCAGUGGCGAAGGCGGUUUCCUGGUCUGAUACUGACGCUGAGGCGCGAAAGCGUGGGGAGCAAACAGG